AGCAGAUGAUGGCUUUUCCUCAUGACGGUCUGUGGAAGCCACCAUGGGCAGUGCCGAUGAUGCCAAUGGUUUAGCUAUGCCCGGAG